AACGAACGCUGGCGGCAUGCCUAACACAUGCAAGUCGAACGAAGCCUUCGGGCUUAGUGGCGCACGGGUGCGUAACGCGUGGGAAUCUGCCCUUGGGUUCGGAAUAACAGUUAGAAAUGACUGCUAAUACCGAAUGAUGUCUUCGGACCAAAGAUUUAUCGCCCAAGGAUGAGCCCGCGUCGGAUUAGCUAGUUGGUGAGGUAAAGGCUCACCAAGGCGACGAUCCGUAGCUGGUCUGAGAGGAUGAUCAGCCACACUGGGACUGAGACACGGCCCAGACUCCUACGGGAGGCAGCAGUGGGGAAUAUUGGACAAUGGGCGAAAGCCUGAUCCAGCAAUGCCGCGUGAGUGAUGAAGGCCUUAGGGUUGUAAAGCUCUUUUACCCGGGAUGAUAAUGACAGUACCGGGAGAAUAAGCCCCGGCUAACUCCGUGCCAG
rnacentral:rRNA from 1 species